UGAAGCAUCGCACAUGAUCUCG
rnacentral:siRNA from 1 species